ACGAACGCUGGCGGCGUGCUUAACCCAUGCAAGUCGAACGGUGAAGCGCCUUCCUUUUUGGUGGGUGUGGAUGAGUGGCGAACGGGUGAGUAACACGUGAGUAACCUGCCCCCUUCUUCUGGAUAACCGCAUGAAAGUGUGGCUAAUACGGGAUAUUCUGGGUCUGUCGCAUGAUGGGUCUGGGAAAGAUAUUGUUUCGGUGGGGGAUGGGCUCGCGGCCUAUCAGCUUGUUGGUGGGGUGAUGGCCUACCAAGGCGGUGACGGGUAGCCGGCCUGAGAGGGUGGACGGUCACACUGGGACUGAGACACGGCCCAGACUCCUACGGGAGGCAGCAGGGGGGAAUAUUGCACAAUGGGCGCAAGCCUGAUGCAGCGACGCCGCGUGAGGGAUGGAGGCCUUCGGGUUGUGAACCUCUUUCGCCAGUGAAGCAGGCCUGCCUCGUUUGUGGGUGGGUUGACGGUAGCUGGAGAAGAAGCGCCGGCUAACUACGUG
rnacentral:rRNA from 1 species